rnacentral:rRNA from 1 species
GACAGAGGUCCCGAGCGUUAGGCGGAAUCACUGGGCUUAAAGCGUGUGUAGGCGGAUCGUUAAGUGCCUUGUGAAAUCCCACGGCUUAACCAUGGAACUGCUUGGCAUACUGGCGGUCUUGAGCCACUUAGGGGCAACCGGAACAAAUGGUGGAGCGGUGAAAUGCGUAGAUAUCUGGAGGAAUACCGGUGGCGAAGGCGGCAUCCUGGACCGAGAUUGACACUGAGGAGCGAAAGCCAGGGGAGCAAACGGG